rnacentral:rRNA from 1 species
GACGAACGCUGGCGGCGUGCUUAACACAUGCAAGUCGAACGGUGAAGGGACCAGCUUGCUGGUUCUGGAUGAGUGGCGAACGGGUGAGUAACACGUGAGUAACCUGCCCCCUUCUUCUGGAUAACUGCAUGAAAGUGUGGCUAAUACGGGAUAUUCUGGGUCUGUCGCAUGGCGGGCCCGGGAAAGAUAUUGCUUCGGUGGGGGAUGGGCUCGCGGCCUAUCAGCUUGUUGGUGGGGUGAUGGCCUACCAAGGCGGUGACGGGUAGCCGGCCUGAGAGGGUGGACGGUCACACUGGGACUGAGACACGGCCCAGACUCCUACGGGAGGCAGCAGUGGGGAAUAUUGCACAAUGGGCGCAAGCCUGAUGCAGCGACGCCGCGUGAGGGAUGGAGGCCUUCGGGUUGUAAACCUCUUUCGCCAGUGAAGCAGGCCUGUUCCUUGUGGGUGGGUUGACGGUAGCUGGAGAAGAAGCGCCGGCUAACUACGUG